UGAGUCAAAAGACCAAUAAACUUGCUAUUGUUUUUCACCGUGUCACCUCCUCCAUGAGAGUCAACCAUGAGCUUUUGAUGUGUCUUCACCAUUUUUAAUUAAACUUCUUGAUUCAUCAACCUACCUAUAGAAUUAAAGACCAAAGCUAGAGUAGCCUCUCUUAAUCAGCAAUUCUUAUUCUCCAAAUCUUCCAUUUGUCAACACAAUUAAGCUGAGUUGUUGAAUUCAUAGAGCACAAAGGCCUCUAUAAAUAGUUGUCAGUUCAUCUCCAAAUGCAAUACAAUUCAGAUUGACCUUCAAUUUCUAAACCACCAUUAAAACCCUCUUCAACAAGAUAAAUUUCUGGAAAAUUACCAAAACCACCACGGCACCACAUUAACCACCACUGCCGCCCCAUUCUGCCGGAAACCACCGCAACUGUCACUGGCGUUGCUGCCGGGAUACCGCUUCCAUCCAGCUUCGCUCAGGUAUCCGACCACCUUACUCUGGUGAAGCCAACUAGUAGCCGCCACCUUCUCUUUUCUCUUUUCUCUUUUCUCUUUUCUCUUUUCCUUCGUGCGGCUCUUUGUUCCGUUGCUGGCGCUCCAAAAAUGUCGGGGAGCAAGUUCCAUUUGAAACUUUUUUUCUUUCAGCCCAUUAACUAAGUGCUAAGAGUGGCCCAACUUCAAUCUUUUUGGAAGAAAAAUCGGACUCGGAGCUCAGGAAGGACGAUAAACAAGGCAAGAGAAAAAGUAUAGUCAAUCACAAUAGAGGUGCCGACCGGGACGGCGGAUGCGAUUAGUGGCAAGGAUUUCGUCUUAUUAGGGCUCACCUAGUUUAAGCUUAAUUUGUACUAAGUUCAAGUAAGAAUUUUCUACUAAGUUAUGUAAAGUCACUUUUGAAUAUUAAUAUAGAACAUAGUUAUAUUAGUUUAAUAGCCUUGUAAUUCCCAAGAGGGAGUUAUGGCGGUAAUGUCCCGACCGAAUUAAGGUAAUUCCGCUGCUUAAUUACUUGAGUUAGAGGUCGGGGCGUUACACAAGCCGCAUAUUAUCAAUUGUUAAAGUCCUCACUGCAGGAUUGGCUCAUCAAUUUUCUUACCUAUUUUUUCAACCAAGAUGGGAAAGAGGAGACGCGGGUAGUCCAACUAGUCGCAACCUUGUGGGCUAUUUAGAUGCAUAGAAAUGAAAUUAUCUUUCGAGGCGUGAGUGCGAGUCCGGGUAGAAUCCUUGACCUCGCACAGACACACGUCCAACAAUUGCUACGAGCCUAGGAAGUUAAGGAAAGUCACAUGGUGCAACAGCUCGACCCUCAACCAAGCAUCAACCUCCACAGGAUCACGUUAUGGAGGUAUGGUAAGUGCUCCAAUUAUUGCGGAUAUUCAUAGCGAAGAUGAAAAAUUAGAUUAUGUGGUUUGCGUAAAAGUUAGUAGAGAUAUGGUAGUUAGGGCCCAUAAUCUUGCGCAGCAAGAGAGAAAGGGUCUGUAGUUCGUGUUUCGUUCUGUUAAGCUGUCAAAAAAAAAAAAAUCAAUUGCUAAAGUUAUUAUUUCCACCUUUGUGUGCUUG